UCCCGCGUGAAGGAUGAAGGCCCUAUGGGUCGUAAACUUCUUUUAUACACCAAGAAAAAGCAGGACGUGUCCUGCCCCGACGGUAGUGUAUGAAUAAGCAUCGGCUAACUCCGUGCCAGCAGCCGCGGUAAUACGGAGGAUGCAAGCGUUAUCCGGAUUCAUUGGGUUUAAAGGGUGCGUAGGCGGCUUUUUAAGUCAGUGGUGAAAUCCUGUCGCUUAACGAUAGAAUUGCCAUUGAUACUGAAGAGCUUGAGUACAAUUGAGGUAAGCGGAAUGUGUAGUGUAGCGGUGAAAUGCUUAGAUAUUACACAGAACACCGAUUGCGAAGGCAGCUUACUAAACUGUUACUGACGCUGAUGCACGAAAGCGUGGGGAGCGAACAGGAUUAGAUACCCUGGUAGUCCACGCCGUAAACGAUGAUCACUCGCUGUAUGCGAUACACAGUAUGCGGCCAAGCGAAAGCAUUAAGUGAUCCACCUGGGGAGUACGAUCGCAAGGUUGAAACUCAAAGGAAUUGACGGGGGCCCGCACAAGCGGAGGAACAUGUGGUUUAAUUCGAUGAUACGCGAGGAACCUUACCUGGGCUUAAAUGGGGAACGACAGCUGCCGAAAG
rnacentral:rRNA from 1 species